AUAUCAAUAAGCGGAGGAAAAGAAACCAACAGGGAUUGCCCUAGUAACGGCGAGUGAAGCGGCAACAGCUCAAAUUUGAAAUCUGGCCCCAGGCCCGAGUUGUAAUUUGCAGAGGAUGCUUUUGGCAAAGCGCAUACCGAGUCCCCUGGAACGGGGCGCCACAGAGGGUGAGAGCCCCGUAUGGUACGACGCCGAGCCUCUGUAAAGCUCCUUCGACGAGUCGAGUAGUUUGGGAAUGCUGCUCUAAAUGGGAGGUAAAUUUCUUCUAAAGCUAAAUACCGGCCAGAGACCGAUAGCGCACAAGUAGAGUGAUCGAAAGAUGAAAAGCACUUUGAAAAGAGGGUUAAAUAGCACGUGAAAUUGUUGAAAGGGAAGCGCUCGUGACCAGACUUGCGCCGGGCGGAUCAUCCAGCGUUCUCGCUGGUGCACUCCGCCCGGCUCAGGCCAGCAUCGGUUUUCGCCGGGGGACAAAAGCUUCGGGAACGUGGCUCCCUUCGGGGAGUGUUAUAGCCCGUCGUUUAAUACCCCGGCGGGGACCGAGGACCGCGCUUCGGCAAGGAUGCUGGCGUAAUGGUCAUCAGCGACCCGUCUUGAAACACGGACCGAGGAGUCAAGCAUUAGUGCGAGUGUUUGGGUGUAAAACCCGCACGCGUAAUGAAAGUGAACGUAGGUGAGAGCUUCGGCGCAUCAUCGACCGAUCCUGAUGUUUUCGGAUGGAUUUGAGUAGGAGCAUUAACGCUUGGACCCGAAAGAUGGUGAACUAUACUUGAAUAGGGUGAAGCCAGAGGAAACUCUGGUGGAGGCUCGCAGCGGU
rnacentral:rRNA from 1 species